AGUGAACGCUGGCGGUAGGCCUAACACAUGCAAGUCGAACGGCAGCACAGGAGAGCUUGCUCUCUGGGUGGCGAGUGGCGGACGGGUGAGGAAUACAUCGGAAUCUACUUUUUCGUGGGGGAUAACGUAGGGAAACUUACGCUAAUACCGCAUACGACCUACGGGUGAAAGCAGGGGAUCUUCGGACCUUGCGCGAUUGAAUGAGCCGAUGUCGGAUUAGCUAGUUGGCGGGGUAAAGGCCCACCAAGGCGACGAUCCGUAGCUGGUCUGAGAGUAUGAUCAGCCACACUGGAACUGAGACACGGUCCAGACUCCUACGGGAGGCAGCAGUGGGGAAUAUUGGACAAUGGGCGCAAGCCUGAUCCAGCCAUACCGCGUGGGUGAAGAAAGCCUUCGGGUUGUAAAGCCCUUUUGUUGGGAAAGAAAUCCAGCUGGCUAAUACCCGGUUGGGAUGACGGUACCCAAAGAAUAAGCACCGGCUAACUUCGUGCCAGCCGCCGCAGUAA
rnacentral:rRNA from 1 species